UGCUCUCGGUGAUGCACACGCUUCCGGGUUUUCAUUCACGUUUCUCCUGGCUGUAGCGGAGUAUACUGGUGGUAACCUUGUAGCCCUCCCUCCAUAAGCUUUGGGUAGUAGCUGGGGAAGCCCCAUACUGGCCAAUUUGGUCCCUGCAAGCAUUGAUUGACUGGGUGUUUGGGCCUGGGUCGGCGGCGUGUUGAUUUCCACGGCGCCACCAUCGCUUCCCCGGGAUAAAGCUACAGUGUGCUGCUGUUUUGCCUUUCCCUUUUUUUUAUACAAGUGUUUUAUGCCCGCUGCCUUGCUUUAAUAUUGGUGCGAUCCCUUCGAUGUUGUGCCGGCAGGAAGACUGCACAGAGGAGAGUUUUAGCACCAUUGUUAUGCACGGGCAU